rnacentral:rRNA from 1 species
CAGGACGAACGCUGGCGGCGUGCCUAAUACAUGCAAGUCGAACGAACGCUGAAAAGCUUGCUUUCAGAGUUAGUGGCGAACGGGUGAGUAACACGUAAGUAACCUAGCUAUUAGACGAGGAAUAACUACUGGAAACGGUAGCUAAGACUGGAUAGGAUAGAAAUAUUUAAAGGAUGCUUAGGCAUCGCUAAUAGAGGGGCUUGCGGCGCAUUAGCUAGUUGGUAGGGUAAAGCCAACAAGGCGAUGAUGCGUAGCCGACCUGAGAGGGUGACCGGCCACACUGGGACUGAGACACGGCCCAGACUCCUACGGGAGGCAGCAGUAGGGAAUCUUCGGCAAUGGACGGAAGUCUGACCGAGCAACGCCGCGUGAAGUGAAGAAAGUUUUCGGAUUGUAAAGCUCUGUUAUUAGGGAAGAAAGGCUCUAGGAGGAAAUGCCUAGGGAUUGACGGUACCUAAUGAGGAAGCCACGGCUAACUACGUGCCAGCAGCUGC